rnacentral:rRNA from 1 species
GACGAACGCUGGCGGCGUGCUUAACACAUGCAAGUCGAACGCUGAAGCUCAGCUUUUGUUGGGUGGAUGAGUGGCGAACGGGUGAGUAACACGUGAGUAACCUGCCCCCUUCUUUGGCAUAACGCCCGGAAACGGGUGCUAAUACUGGAUAUUCACUGGUCUUCGCAUGGGGGUUGGUGGAAAGGGUUUUUCUGGUGGGGGAUGGGCUCGCGGCCUAUCAGCUUGUUGGUGGGGUGAUGGCCUACCAAGGCUUUGACGGGUAGCCGGCCUGAGAGGGUGACCGGUCACAUUGGGACUGAGAUACGGCCCAGACUCCUACGGGAGGCAGCAGUGGGGAAUAUUGCACAAUGGGCGCAAGCCUGAUGCAGCGACGCCGCGUGAGGGAUGGAGGCCUUCGGGUUGUGAACCUCUUUCGCUCAUGGUCAAGCCGCAACAAUGGUUGUGGUGAGGGUAGUGGGUAAAGAAGCGCCGGCUAACUACGUG